AGUGAACGCUGGCGGUAGGCCUAACACAUGCAAGUCGAACGGCAGCACAGUAAGAGCUUGCUCUUACGGGUGGCGAGUGGCGGACGGGUGAGGAAUACAUCGGAACCUACUUUUUCGUGGGGGAUAACGUAGGGAAACUUACGCUAAUACCGCAUACGACCUACGGGUGAAAGCAGGGGAUCUUCGGACCUUGCGCGAUUGAAUGAGCCGAUGUCGGAUUAGCUGGUUGGCGGGGUAAAGGCCCACCAUGGCGACGAUCCGUAGCUGGUCUGAGAGGAUGAUCAGCCACACUGGAAGUGAGACACGGUCCAGACGCCUACGGGAGGCAGCAGUGGGGAAGAUUGGACAAUGGGCGCAAGCCUGAUCCAGCCAUACCGCGUGGGUGAAGAAGGCCUUCGGGUUGUAAAGCCCUUUUGUUGGGAAAGAAAAGCAGCAGGUUAAUACCCCGCUGUUCUGACGGUACCCAAAGAAUAAGCACCGGCUAACUUCGUG
rnacentral:rRNA from 1 species